rnacentral:rRNA from 1 species
AUUGAACGCUGGCGGCGUGCCUAACACAUGCAAGUCGAGCGGUAACGCGGGAGCAAUCCUGGCGACGAGCGGCGAACGGGUGAGUAAUGCUUCGGAAUCUGCCCAAUAGUGGGGAAUAACUAGCCGAAAGGUUAGCUAAUACCGCAUACGACCUACGGGUGAAAGCAGGGGAUCGCAAGACCUUGCGCUGAUGGAUGAGCCGAAGUCGGAUUAGCUAGUUGGUAGGGUAACGGCCUACCAAGGCGACAAUCCGUAGCUGGUCUGAGAGGACGACCAGCCACACUGGGACUGAGACACGGCCCAGACUCCUACGGGAGGCAGCAGUGGGGAAUAUUGGACAAUGGGGGCAACCCUGAUCCAGCGACGCCGCGUGUGUGAAGAAGGCCUGCGGGUUGUAAAGCACUUUUAGUGGGGAUGAAAAGCUCAGGGUUAACACCUCUGGGUCUUGACCUAACCCACAGAAAAAGCACCGGCUAACUCUG